GACGAACGCUGGCGGCGUGCUUAACACAUGCAAGUCGAACGGAAAGGCCCGGGUUUUGUGGGGUGCUCGAGGGGCGAAGGGGUGAGUAACACGUGCGUAACCUGCCCUUGACUUUGGGAUAACUUCAGGAAACUGGGGCUAAUACCGGAUAGGAGCUCCUGCUGCAUGGUGGGGGUUGGAAAGUUUGGGCGGUUGGGGAUGGACUCGCGGCUUAUCAGCUUGUUGGUGGGGUAGUGGCUUACCAAGGCUUUGACGGGUAGCCGGCCUGAGAGGGUGACCGGCCACAUUGGGACUGAGAUACGGCCCAGACUCCUACGGGAGGCAGCAGUGGGGAAUAUUGCACAAUGGGCGGAAGCCGGAUGCAGCAACGCCGCGUGCGGGAUGACGGCCUUCGGGUUGUAGACCGCUUUCGCCUGUGACGAAGCGUGAGUGACGGUAAUGGGUAAAGAAGCACCGGCUAACUACGUG
rnacentral:rRNA from 1 species